rnacentral:rRNA from 1 species
AUUGAACGCUGGCGGCAUGCCUUACACAUGCAAGUCGAACGGUAACAGGUUAAGCUGACGAGUGGCGAACGGGUGAGUAAUGUAUCGGAACGUUCCCAGUCGUGGGGGAUAACUGCUCGAAAGAGCAGCUAAUACCGCAUACGACCUGAGGGUGAAAGCGGGGGAUCGCAAGACCUCGCGCGAUUGGAGCGGCCGAUAUCGGAUUAGGUAGUUGGUGAGGUAAAGGCUCACCAAGCCGACGAUCUGUAGCUGGUCUGAGAGGACGACCAGCCACACUGGGACUGAGACACGGCCCAGACUCCUACGGGAGGCAGCAGUGGGGAAUUUUGGACAAUGGGCGCAAGCCUGAUCCAGCCAUGCCGCGUGCGGGAAGAAGGCCUUCGGGUUGUAAACCGCUUUUGUCAGGGAAGAAAAGGUUCUGGCUAAUACCUGGGACUCAUGACGGUACCUGAAGAAUAAGCACCGGCUAACUACGUG